UACAGAGGGGGCAAGCGUUGUUCGGAAUUCCUGGGCGUAAAGGGCGCGUAGGCGGCGCGGUAAGUCACUUGUGAAAUCUCUGAGCUUAACUCAGAACGGCCAAGUGAUACUGCAGUGCUAGAGUGCAGAAAGGGCAAUCGGAAUUCUUGGUGUAGCGGUGAAAUGCGUAGAUAUCAAGAGGAACACCUGAGGCGAAGGCGGGUUGCUAGGCUGACACUGACGCUGAGUGCGCGAAAGCCAGGGGAGCAAACGGG
rnacentral:rRNA from 1 species